rnacentral:rRNA from 1 species
UUUAUUGAGAGUUUGAUCCUGGCUCAGGACGAACGCUGGCGGCGUGCCUAACACAUGCAAGUCGAACGAAGCACUUCUGAAU